GUUUCACCUGAGACCACCGUUAUCGUAAACGAGGAACGGCAUUGGUUUUUAAGGCUAAUAUUCGAUAAUAAUUUGUAAACGGUAAACGAUAACACAUAAUAUUAUAUAAAAUGUUUAAACAUUGCAUUCAAAUGCGAAUUGCGCAACAGAGAACAACGGUCUACCUACACUUUUUUGGAAUACGGCCGAGGAAGAGUUCUGCUCUAAGCGAGCUCAACUUUUUCCUAUGGGGGAGUAUGAUCUGUAUUUUGUUUUGCUG